CCUGAUGAGGCCUUCCACAUGUUUUCCUCCUGUGGACUGAAUCCCUAACCACAUAGUUCAUGUCAGUUCUCACUGGACAUGCUUCUUAUUUAUCUGAAGCAUGAGGGAUCAGAUGUGUGUGAAUGUGGACAUCUUCUUCCAUUAAACUCCCCUUAACCUGGACAUCUGCCUCAUCCUUGUUCUGACCGGACAUUCUGUUGUGAUUGCUACCGGUCUUAAGCCAGAACCUAAGAUUUCUUAUUACAUUCAUGAUUCUCUACAACCCUACCCUUAUUUUUCACCGGGAAACACAGCUUGUAAAGAAAAUGGCUCCUGCUGAGAAGAGAAUACUAUACUGUAGGCUACCAAAAUAUUUCAUCAACUUCCAAAUAUUGUUUAACAAAAGAGAGGCUUUUGGAAUGAGCGCAUUUACCAUCACCAGCAAGUGAGCUGUGCGUCAUUUGGUGAGCCAGACUAGGCUAUUGAUUGAUUCAAGACCAGGUCGUUUUUGUCAGUGUCAAAGUAGCCUGCCAUUUUGAUCAUGUGCGGUAUUAAAAAAGAUUUUGCUAAAGUGUAACGUCUGCUUCCAACUCACACCCUCAAACACGUAGAUCCCCUGAACGCAGCUCACUUUCCAGAUCCCAAGCACCUGAAUUCUAAUCACCUGUUCACACACCUGUAUGUCAAUAUCACACACUAUUUAGUUCAGUUCUUUGCACCCCAUCACUGUGAGCUAUUGUUAGUUUUGAGACAAAUGUCUUUCGGAGCACUGGGUUGCCUGUGAUUUACUCCUCCCAUGUAUGAUAGUUUUAGCCUGCUUGUACUUUAGCCUAUUGGAUUUCCUGUUAUCUACCUAUUGCCUGAUCUCCCGAACUAUGUUACUAGCCUUUUCCCUGCCUGUACUGUUGCCCUUUUGGACCCCCUGUGUAUGACCUUCUGCCUGCCCCUGGACCCAACUACCUGCCUCCUCCUGUGGUCCUUUGCAAUAAACAC
ensembl:lncRNA